AUUGAACGCUAGCGGGAUGCCUUACACAUGCAAGUCGAACGGCAGCACGGACUUCGGUCUGGUGGCGAGUGGCGAACGGGUGAGGAAUGUAUCGGAACGUGCCCAGUAGCGGGGGAUAACUACUCGUAAGAGUAGCUAAUACAGCAUACGCCCUACGGGGGAAAGGGGGGGAUCGCAAGACCUCUCACUAUUGGAGCGGUCGAUAUCGGAUUAGCUAGUUGGUGGGGUAAAGGCCUACCACGGCGACGAUCCGUAGCUGGUUUGAGAGGACGACCAGCCACACUGGGAAUGAGACACGGCCCAGACUACUACGGGAGGCAGCAGUGGGGAAUUUUGGACAAUGGGGGCAACCCUGAUCCAGCCAUCCCGCGUGUGCGAUGAAGGCCUUCGGGUUGUAAAGCACUUUUGGCAGGAAAGAAAUCGCAUGGGUUAAUACCCUGUGUGGAUGACGGUACCUGCAGAAUAAGCACCGGCUAACUACGUGCCAGCCGCCGCCGUAA
rnacentral:rRNA from 1 species